UGCUAGAGGCCUUUUUCUGAGAGGAGCAUCAGCCACCCAAGAGGGUGUAGAGAAAGGAGAGAAGAUGGAACACAGUGGGUACCUUCCCACACCACACAAAAAACCCCAACUUCUUCCCUUCGAGACAGGUGUGGUCCUGAGGUUUGCCAUUUAUAGUUCAGGUGAGACACAGUUUCUGGGAUAACGGGAGAAACGCUGGGACUACAGAGACUUCAAUACCUGCUCCUUCGGCUGUGUAAUUCCAAAGACCUAACGUAGCUUUCCUGGAUAGCCUCCCGUCAGUAAAAUGAGAAUAUGAACAGCUGCUUUGCCAUCAAGUGAAAUGUCCUUCUCUGGAAUAGUCUCUAUUCAAUCACUGCUGCUUAGCAGAAUCUGUGGUUAUGUCCUGUUGUGUUCGGGUAUUUAAAACGAACACUAAAACCACUUGUUUCUUCGAAAGUGAAGGACUUGAAUUUCCCUCCUUCCUUACCACUCUGUACAUUAAAAUAUACUGUGUAUAAAUAUAGAGUCUGCAGAUAAAGGCUGCCAGUAACCAGUUUCUGGGCCUCUAUUGCUUCCAAGCCGUAGUCUUGGAAAUUAGCCCCUUCCUCCGGAAAGGCUCUCAGACGCCACCAGUCUUUGUUGGCUCUCCUGGAAAAUGGCUUCUAAGGCCAUCUCUGGAGAUGGCUGAUGUUGAGGACACUUGCCAACCCAGAAAUAAAGGUUCCUCAGUGGAACAACCUGUGCUGUGUUCGAACUAGGAGCUGCCUCUCAGCACUGAAAGCAAUCGCAUGCUAGAAAGUUCUGAAAAGAGCAGAGCUAUAUAGUGACAGAAACAUAUCGGGAGUUAUGUGCUGCAAGAGUUAGGUUUUUUUUUUCGGGGGGUGAUAUUAAAGGGCAGAAGGCAGCGUAUGAGGUGAGUGGUUUUAUUCCACCCUGUGCUCCCCACUGUUGCAGUCUCACACGCCCAGCAGUGGCCUACAAGCAAUGAGGUCAUGUAACCACGGGCUGGAACCUCUGAAACCAGCCCAGGUGAACCUUUCCCUGUUUAUAAACAUUAUCUCCAGUAUUUGCUGUGACGGUGAAGGAUGGCCAACACAGAGAUAACCGUAGAAAAUUGUCUUCAUGGGAGAAGACAAUGCUCACGGACCCCAAUCAUCUCCAUGAAAGGGCUUCCCUUCCUGUGUCCAUUCGUCAGGCCCACAACCAAGGGCUCCCACAAAGGCCACACAGAAAACCUGGGUUCAUACUUAGUUUUACUUGAUUGAUUGUGGUCAGGAAGGACAAGUCUAGGGUUCAGCCUAAUUCAGCACUUCUCCAUUAAAAGACUUGCUGCCUUCGCAUGCCCUUCGUUUCCAUGGGAACCACAGAUAUUUUACCCCCGUCAGUUUUGGUCCUUGAAGACAUCAGCACCUACUCUGGAUCACUUGGAGUAGUGAGGGGUCUGCUUGAAUAACCACUCCGGAGUCUCAUGGUUUGAGCAGGUAAACAUGUUUACCCUUUUUAUUAACAGCUACUAAUCAAUUACUCAGUGCUAUUGCAGACAAACCAUCAGCCUCUGCACAAGGACCAGUUCGGUUCCAAAUUCCCCACGGUUGAUGCUCUCUCAAAUCUGAGUGAUCAUGAAGGAGGCCGUGUAUUGAACAGCUCCCGUAAAAAGCUGUGAUCAUCACCGGAAAGGUGAUUUCACCGUGCAGUGAGACAUGAACCUGGAUGUCCUAGCAGUACAGUGAGGAAAUUAAUCAUUUUAUGUUUUGGCUCAUUCAUAUCACAUUAAGCUAAUUGGAAAUUCUGUAAGUCAUUUAAGAGUCAAAAUUCCAGAUUAAAAGGGAAUUCUGUCUCUUGCCCAAACUAUCAACCCAUCCCAUCCCCAAAAUAAAUGUAAACAAUUCUCAGUUGUAAAAACAUGACACUUAAGUAUGGAAAUCACCAUCAUUACUAAUUCAUGUGAAUACUUCACAUUUUAAAAGCAACUGUAAUUGUUUUAAAUAAUAGAAUUACAAUUGCCUUUAAAACCUUGCCUCAGCAUUUUGAAAUUUAAAAAGCUCUGUUAAGACUUCCGUGUUUCUGGGGAGAUUGGGCUGUGUCAGGAGGGCCUGGGAGGAGAGGGGCCCUCCCUCUGGAUGUAAAGUGAAUAAAUAAAUUAAUG
ensembl:processed_transcript Gm19391 predicted gene, 19391